rnacentral:rRNA from 1 species
UACAGAGGGUGCAAGCGUUAAUCGGAAUUACUGGGCGUAAAGCGCGUGUAGGCGGUCCGGUAAGUCCGCUGUGAAAGUCGGGGGCUCAACCCUGGAAUGCCGGUGGAUACUGUCGGGCUAGAGUCCGGAAGAGGCGAGUGGAAUUCCUGGUGUAGCGGUGAAAUGCGCAGAUAUCAGGAGGAACACCAAUUGCGAAGGCAGCUCGCUGGGACGUUACUGACGCUGAGACACGAAAGCGUGGGGAGCGAACAGG